GGGGUUGUAGGAUAACUUGGCUAGACUCCACGGUUCGGGGCCGUGUGAUCCGCGUUCAAAUCGCGGCAACCCCA
rnacentral:tRNA from 1 species